rnacentral:hammerhead_ribozyme from 1 species
GCACUGUUGAGGAGUCCCACAAUAGGACGAAACGGCUUUCCAGUGC